GUCUUUGUAGCUUAAUAACCAAAGCAUUG
rnacentral:tRNA from 1 species